GAUCUGAUGCUCUCUUCUGGUGUGUCUGAAGAGAACAAUGGUGUAUUCAUAUUCAUACAAUAAAUAAAUAAAUCUUUUUUAAAAAUUAACUUCUACAAUUUACCAGAAUUGUAAUAGACUUGACUACAUACACAUUAAAAAAAAAAAGUAUUCAAAAUUCCCAAAGUGCCUGGCAUGAAUGAAUGGCUUGUAUAAAACAUGGAAUAGGUGCUCUCAAAUGACCAUUUCAGUUAGGUAUAAGGUAUAGAAUGUUAGUUAAUGAGGUCAUACUGUCUUCCAUGGUAACUCAUAAGUUUCUGUGAGUCAUAGUCUUACAUACAUCUUUAGUUACCAAAAGUGACUUAUCAGAUCUCCUGUAUUUAUAGCUUGCUCAAGUAAAAGAAGGUUUUUAACAUCUUAUAUCUUUUAUAUGGUUAGGGUAAGCUUGCUAUUAUUAUAUUUUUUUGAAGUUUUAGUUAGAAUAAUAAAUAAUACAAUCAUAGCCAGCAAAAUGUUUUUGUUAAAAAUUAAAGGUGAUAAAAAUUGAUUUUAAAGAUACUAUUAAAAUUAUACUGACUUCUAAUGAAUUUCUGAUGAAAAAUGGUUAUAGUACUUUGCAUCUAGACUAUUGACAGUAUAACAGUUGCUAUAUUUCGAUUGGGGUUCUGCUCUAGGAGUGGAAAGAACGUUAUGGACACAACAGAGAGGAUUCCACUCGGAACAGAAACGUCCAUCCUGACCCCAAAGAGUCAAAUUUCUCAGACACGACUACCAACUGGUGUAAGUACCGUAUUUCCUAGUAUGCUUAGGAAUUACUUUUAAAUGUUUGCACUGUAUAGAACUGAAACCAUAGCAUCUGGCAUCACGAACAUCUCUACACUGACUUCCUUUAUCAUUGUCUAGUGUGUAAAAGGAAAAGGAAAUGGUGUAUCAGGUAAGUAGUUGUGUUAUUUCCAAGGUGUGUGCUAGGGAGGUAAUUAUUUCUACAAUUUACCUUCAUGUUUUUCGUCCUUUUCUACUAGUUGAUGUAGGUUAUUCAUUUAUCUUUAUAAGAAUUUGUUAAGCCUUACUGAAGUGCUUUCCCAUAUAUGUAGUGAGAGAAAAAUAAACUUCUGUCCCCAGGAUGUUCAUAAUUUAGAGAAGUCCUAAAGAUAGAUACAAGUCAGCCACCACUGGUGCGAGUUAAGAAACCUGGGUGGCACUGACGCUGCACUGAUGUGAAGAGGAAACAAACCCACUGACCUGGGGAAAACACCAGGAACCCUUUCUUUGUGCAGGACUUUACACUGUGUAGCAGGCAAAGUUUUGUCAUUGGGGAAGAUGACCUAUUGCUAAGGAGCUGUACUACUGAGGCUUCUGUGAAUAGGGCUCUGUCUGAGAUUGAAAAUGAAGUAGGAAAUCUGAGCAUCCUUCCCUAGCUACUCAUUUGUACAGAAACAGUGUGGUUAGAGGAGUGAUAGUCGCACAGGUACCCUCCUAAUGGUCUGAAAGCAGAAAACAGGUACCAGAAACAUUCCUGUGUAUUGAGGCCAUCUAAACACAAGGAAAACGGAAAUCUGUAGCAGCUGAAGGGAACUAAAGCAGAGUCUAAAUUCACAGUAAGUACAGUAGGUUAAUUCAGUGCUCCAACAUUCAGGGCCCUACAGAACGAGGCAGGCCUGCCCCAUUUUGAAUAUAUGUUAUUUAGCUUAACUUCUGUAUUCAUUUAAAUGAAAUUUCUAGUCUUUAACAAGAAUUUCUGAGGUAUAUAAGGAAAUAAAGUGCCUCUAGUUUUAGAAUUAUCAGGCAGAUCAUUGGUGGAAAUAUCUAAUUAGUAUGCUUAAAGAUGUAGUGGAAAGGUUGGAUAAUGUGCAUAAAGAGAUGUAGGGAAUUUCACCAGGCAGCUGGAAAUUAUAUAAAGGAGCUAAGUGGAAAUUUUAGAAAUAUUUUAACGGCAGACUCCAGUGAUGUUGCCGACUUCUCAUGUAAGUUGUUAGCACAGAGAGUACACCUAUGCUGAAGGAAAUUACUCUGGGGGAUAGAAAAAAGGUUCUCUCUUAGGAGGGUAUUUUUAUACCAAAUAUUUCCGUAAUGAAAAUUGAGCUGAGUGUUCAGAAAUGAAUAAUAGUUACCUAGAUGAAAGGGGUUUUAUCUAGAAAGUGACCGAGCUGUUGUGCUGUGAGAGGAUGUUUGGGAACGCGCUUUCUCAUGACUCUAGAGCUUAAACAGGAGGCCCCUAGCAAGAGGGGCUCCAGGCAAUUUAGAGACACACACUUUCAUCCUCAGAAGUAUGGACGUUAGAAUGUAGGUAGGAUUUGUAACUUGGAAGAACAUAGUCUUUAUUUAAAUAUUUUUAUUAUUUUUUCAAUAUUCACAUGUAUAUUUGACCAUAUUCUAACCACUUGCCCAUCUCCUUCCAGCUCAUUUCCCUCUACACACCCAACUUCAUAGUUUUUCUUUGUCUUAAAACAAGCAGC
rnacentral:lncRNA from 1 species